rnacentral:rRNA from 1 species
CGGGGUGAGUAACGCGUGGGCAACCUGCCCCAUAGAGGGGGACAACAGUUGGAAACGACUGCUAAUACCGCAUGAUACAUUUGGGCCGCAUGGUCUGAAUGUCAAAGAUUUAUCGCCGAAAGAUGGCCUCGCGUCUGAUUAGCUAGUUGGUGGGGUAACGGCCCACCAAGGCGACGAUCAGUAGCCGGACUGAGAGGUUGGCCGGCCACAUUGGGACUGAGAUACGGCCCAGACUCCUACGGAAGGCAGCAG